GACGAACCGUGCGAACGUUGUUCGGAUUCACUGGGCUUAAAGGGCGCGUAGGCGGGCUGUCAAGUCGGUGGUGAAAUCUUUCGGCUCAACCGGAAAAUCGCCUUCGAUACUGGCGGCCUUGAGGGAGGUAGGGGCAUGCGGAACUUCCGGUGGAGCGGUGAAAUGCGUAGAUAUCGGAAGGAACACCGAUGGCGAAAGCAGCGUGCUGGACCUUUUCUGACGCUGAGGCGCGAAAGCCAGGGGAGCAAACGGG
rnacentral:rRNA from 1 species